GACGAACGCUGGCGGCGUGCCUAAUACAUGCAAGUCGAACGAACCGCGACUGAGUGCUUACACUUGGUCAAGGUGAGUGGCGAACGGGUGAGUAACACGUGGGUAACCUACCUCAUAGUGGGGGAUAACAGUCGGAAACGACUGCUAAUACCGCAUAGGACAUGGAAUCACAUGAUUCUGUGAGGAAAGGUGGCGCAAGCUAUCGCUACGAGAUGGACCCGCGGUGCAUUAGCUAGUUGGUAGGGUAAGGGCCUACCAAGGCGAUGAUGCAUAGCCGACCUGAGAGGGUGAUCGGCCACAUUGGGACUGAGACACGGCCCAAACUCCUACGGGAGGCAGCAGUAGGGAAUCUUCCGCAAUGGACGCAAGUCUGACGGAGCAACGCCGCGUGAGUGAAGAAGGUCUUCGGAUCGUAAAGCUCUGUUGUUAGAGAAGAACAGCGCAUAGAGUAACUGUUAUGCGUGUGACGGUAUCUAACCAGAAAGCCACGGCUAACUACGUG
rnacentral:rRNA from 1 species